rnacentral:rRNA from 1 species
UACGUAGGGCGCAAGCGUUGUCCGGAAUUAUUGGGCGUAAAGAGCUCGUAGGCGGCUUGUCACGUCGGAUGUGAAAGCCCGGGGCUUAACUCCGGGUCUGCAUCCGAUACGGGCUGGCUAGAGUGUGGUAGGGGAGAUCGGAAUUCCUGGUGUAGCGGUGAAAUGCGCAGAUAUCAGGAGGAACACCGGUGGCGAAGGCGGAUCUCUGGGCCAUUACUGACGCUGAGGCGCGAAAGCUAGGGGAGCAAACAGG